rnacentral:rRNA from 1 species
UUUGAUCCUGGCUCAGAACGAACGCUGGCGGCGUGGAUAAGACAUGCAAGUCGAGCGGGACAUUCAGGGUAGCAAUAUUCUGGAUGUUCAGCGGCGCAAGGGUGCGUAACACGUGGGUAAUCUGCCGUGAAGCCUGGAAUAACUCGCUGAAAGGCGAGCUAAUACCGGAUGUGAAGUUUGGAAGGCAUCUUUUGGACUUCAAAGCUGGGGACCGUAAGGCCUGGCACUUCACGAUGAGCCCGCGGCCUAUCAGCUAGUUGGUGAGGUAACGGCUCACCAAGGCUAAGACGGGUAGCUGGUCUGAGAGGACGACCAGCCACACUGGAACUGAGACACGGUCCAGACACCUACGGGUGGCAGCAGUCGAGAAUUUUUCACAAUGGGCGAAAGCCUGAUGGAGCGACGCCGCGUGGGGGAUGAAUGGCUUCGGCCCGUAAACCCCUGUCAUUUGCGAACAAGUUGUUUCACCCAAUACGUGAAACAUUGAUAGUAGCGAAAGAGGAAGGGACGGCUAACUCUGUGCCAGCAGCCGCGGUAAUACAGAGGUCCCGAGCGUUGUUCGGAUUCACUGGGCGUAAAGGGUGCGUAGGCGGUCGGGUAAGUCUGACGUGAAAUCUUCAAGCUCAACUUGGAAACUGCGUCGGAUACUAUUCGGCUAGAGGAAUGGAGGGGAGACUGGAAUACUUGGUGUAGCAGUGAAAUGCGUAGAUAUCAAGUGGAACACCAGUGGCGA